AUGGCCUGCCUUACGAUACAAUGCUUUGUCACUGUGACUACCAAUAACUUGAUUUUCGGCGAUGGUACAAAACUUACAGUAAUCGGGACGGAUGAUAAAAUCAUACCUCCAUCUGUGGCCAUCUUCUCCCCAUCAAAGCAAGAGAUCCAACAGAAGAACAAGGCCACACUGGUGUGUCUGGCCUCUGGUUUUUACCCUGACCACUUGAAUUUGUUCUGGAAGGUGAAUGGCGCUAAGAGGACAGAAGGGGUGGGGACAGAUGAGUUUUCCACAUGGAAUGGGAAUGGGAAAAACUACUCAUUGACCAGCCGACUGAGGAUCUCAGCCCAGGAAUGGUUUAACCCUUUCAACCGCUUUGAGUGUGUUGCAAAUUUUUUUAAGGAUGGAACACUGGAUUCGACACAGAAAUUCAUCUAUGGCGAUGCUGGUUGUGCAGUCACAGAAGAGUCCUACCGGCGGUAUGGAAACUCCCUGAAGCUCACUUACCUGAUUCUCUGUGGCAAAGCCUUGCUCUACGCGGUUUUGGUGAGCAGUCUGGUGUGGACAGCCAAGGCUGGUGGCAAGUGGUAUAGAGAAUAAAUGAAGAGUCCUCGUCAUCACAUCAGCAGGAACACAGCAAAGUAUACUUUCUACCUUCCCACAGCAAAGGAUCUAUGCAUCUGCCUAAAAAGCUUUUAAAUAUUAUUUCUUAAUGAUUCUCUGUCCCCAUCUUGUACUUUCCACUUUAUUGUAAUCACUGCUGGAUUUUCUUCUCUACUUCUAUAUCAUAUUAUAUUGUGUUAUAUCAAAUCGUAUACUAUUAUAUGUUUUAAACAGACACCUUAAUGCUCAGAGGCUGAGAACCCAGCUUGUUGAAUUAGGAAUAAAGUUUUAGCUUAUUUUCCAUUCAAGAAA